ensembl:ncRNA C25F6.18 ncRNA
UUAUGCGGCCCAUUGUUUUAUUUGAAUAAAACAUAUAGACCGGUCACUCGGUCCUCAUUUUCAAACGCGCCAGACGUUAGUUGUUGCUUUAAGAGCCCCCGCGACGGCCGACUUA